rnacentral:rRNA from 1 species
UACGUAGGGUGCAAGCGUUAAUCGGAAUUACUGGGCGUAAAGCGUGCGCAGGCGGUUUUGUAAGACAGGCGUGAAAUCCCCGGGCUCAACCUGGGAAUGGCGCUUGUGACUGCAAAGCUGGAGUGCGGCAGAGGGGGAUGGAAUUCCGCGUGUAGCAGUGAAAUGCGUAGAUAUGCGGAGGAACACCGAAUGGCGAAGGCAAGUCCCCUCGGUCGGUCGNGUACUGACGCUCAUGCACGAAAGCGUGGGGAGCAAACAGGAUUAGAACCUACCG